UACAGAGGUCUCAAGCGUUGUUCGGAUUCAUUGGGCGUAAAGGGCGCGUAGGCUGCGGGGCAAGUCGGGUGUGAAAUCUCAGAGCUCAACUCUGAAACUGCACUCGAUACUGCUUUGCUUGAGGACUGGAGAGGAGAUUGGAAUUCACGGUGUAGCAGUGAAAUGCGUAGAUAUCGUGAGGAAGACCAGUGGCGAAGGCGACUACCUGGCCUGUUCUUGACGCUGAGGCGCGAAAGCUAGGGGGAGCAAACGGG
rnacentral:rRNA from 1 species